GAGGCCGAGACGAUGAGAUCUUUGUCAGAGCAUCUGAGGGCAAAUGUUGGAGUCAAUAUUAAAGACCUUGAAUACAUUCAGCCGGAGGCCAUAAAAUACCAUUUGAUUCCAAUAUAGUGCCGGGAAUUGCUUCAGUCCUUCAACCAAAGAGGUCACUGGAACUUAAUAAGGCCCAAAUUCCUUUGCCAGACACAUCAAGGCUGAUCAUGCUUGGAAAUACUCUAUUGGGUUUCUCAAAACGGAUGGUGUCGAUCGAGGUGUUGGGGGUUACCCUGGGGGUCGGGUGUGGGGCUACACCAAUGCCAUGAUUACUGUAUAUAUGUAAUAACCUUUGUAUGCUUGCAAUGUGCAAUGAUGGAAAAGUACUGGGUAAUGGAGAUGUACUGCUUUAGUUCUCAGGCUGAGAACUGCCUGCACCUGCUGAUAGUCACACAGCCUCAAGGCUGAGAUAGUAGAGUGAGAAACCAGUCUAGACAUGUUUUUCCUCAUCUUAGAUACUUUGUAUCUAAUCAAAUGCAACAAUGUUAAAGUAUGAUUGACAGUAGGUUGUUCACACCAACUAAGUAUAAAGAGUGUUGUCUCGUGUUUCACCACACAGAUAUUUAUUGACUACUGAGGUAUUCUGUAUGUGAAUCUCUGUCUGCAAUUGCAUUUUAUUACUAAAUAGUUUUAUACUAAGGUUCCUGUGUCUGUGUCAUCUAUCUGGAAGACUGAUUAUUGAAGGAAACUUGCUGUAAAUGUACAGCAAGGAUGCUGUAAUAUGU
rnacentral:lncRNA from 8 species